GCGGCGUGCUUACACAUGCAAGUCGAACGAUGAACCACUUCGGUGGGGAUUAGUGGCGAACGGGUGAGUAACACGUGGGCAAUCUGCCCUGCACUCUGGGACAAGCCCUGGAAACGGGGUCUAAUACCGGAUACUGAUCCUCGCAGGCAUCUGCGAGGUUCGAAAGCUCCGGCGGUGCAGGAUGAGCCCGCGGCCUAUCAGCUAGUUGGUGAGGUAACGGCUCACCAAGGCGACGACGGGUAGCCGGCCUGAGAGGGCGACCGGCCACACUGGGACUGAGACACGGCCCAGACUCCUACGGGAGGCAGCAGUGGGGAAUAUUGCACAAUGGGCGAAAGCCUGAUGCAGCGACGCCGCGUGAGGGAUGACGGCCUUCGGGUUGUAAACCUCUUUCAGCAGGGAAGAAGCGAAAGUGACGGUACCUGCAGAAGAAGCGCCGGCUAACUACGUGCCAGCAGCCGCGGUAAUACGUAGGGCGCAAGCGUUGUCCGGAAUUAUUGGGCGUAAAGAGCUCGUAGGCGGCUUGUCACGUCGGUUGUGAAAGCCCGGGGCUUAACCCCGGGUCUGCAGUCGAUACGGGCAGGCUAGAGUUCGGUAGGGGAGAUCGGAAUUCCUGGUGUAGCGGUGAAAUGCGCAGAUAUCAGGAGGAACACCGGUGGCGAAGGCGGAUCUCUGGGCCGAUACUGACGCUGAGGAGCGAAAGCGUGGGGAGCGAACAGGAUUAGAUACCCUGGUAGUCCACGCCGUAAACGGUGGGCACUAGGUGUGGGCAACAUUCCACGUUGUCCGUGCCGCAGCUAACGCAUUAAGUGCCCCGCCUGGGGAGUACGGCCGCAAGGCUAAAACUCAAAGGAAUUGACGGGCGCCCGCACAAGCGGCGGAGCAUGUGGCUUAAUUCGACGCAACGCGAAGAACCUUACCAAGGCUUGACAUACACCGGAAAACCCUGGAGACAGG
rnacentral:rRNA from 1 species